CUUGCUCCCUGAUGUUAGCGGCGGACGGGUGAGUAACACGUGGGUAACCUGCCUGUAAGAGUGGGAUAACUCCGGGAAACCGGGGCUAAUACCGGAUGGUUGUUUGAACCGCAUGGUUCGGACAUAAAAGGUGGCUUCGGCUACCACUUACACAUGGACCCGCGGCGCAUUAGCUAGUUGGUGAGGUAACGGCUCACCAAGGCGACUAUGCGUAGCCGACCUGAGAGGGUGAUCGGCCACACUGGGACUGAGACACGGCCCAGACUCCUACGGGAGGCAGCAGUAGGGAAUCUUCCGCAAUGGACGAAAGUCUGACGGAGCAACGCCACGUGAGUGAUGAAGGUUUUCGGAUCGUAAAGCUCUGUUGUUAGGGAAGAACAAGUGCCGUUCAAAUAGGGCGGCACCUUGACGGUACCUAACCAGAAAGCCACGGCUAACUACGUGCCAGCAGCCGCGGGAAUACGUAGGUGGCAAGCGUUGUCCGGAAUUAUUGGGCGUAAAGGGCUCGCAUGCGGUUUCUUAAGUCUGAUGUGAAAGCCCCCGGCUCGAC
rnacentral:rRNA from 1 species